rnacentral:rRNA from 1 species
GAUGAACGCUGACAGAAUGCUUAACACAUGCAAGUCUACUUGAACUUCGGUUUGGGUGGCGGACGGGUGAGUAACGCGUAAAGAACUUGCCUCACAGUUAGGGACAACAUUUGGAAACGAAUGCUAAUACCUGAUAUUAUGAUUUUAGGGCAUCCUAGGAUUAUGAAAGCUAUAUGUGCUGUGAGAGAGCUUUGCGUCCCAUUAGCUAGUUGGAGAGGUAACGGCUCACCAAGGCGAUGAUGGGUAGCCGGCCUGAGAGGGUGAACGGCCACAAGGGGACUGAGACACGGCCAUUACUCCUACGGGAGGCAGCAGUGGGGAAUAUUGGACAAUGGACCAAAAGUGUGAUCCAGCAAUUCUGUGUGCACGAUGACGUUUUUCGGAAUGAAAAGUGCUUUCAGUUGGGAAGAAAAAAAUGACGGUACCAACAGAAGAAGUGACGGCUAAAUACGUG